rnacentral:rRNA from 1 species
GUGCAGCAGGCGCGAAACCUUCGCAAUGCGCGAAAGCGCGACGAGGCUACUUCGAGUGUCAUCCGCAGAGGAUGGCUUUUCCCGGAUCUAAAACACCCGGGGAAUAAGGGGAGGGCAAGUCUGGUGUCAGCCGCCGCGGUAAUACCAGCUCCUCGAGUGGUCGGGGCGAUUAUUGGGCCUAAAGCAUCCGUAGCCGGUCUCGUAGGUCUUCUGUUAAAUUCAACGGCUCAACCGUUGAGCUGCAGGAGAUACCUCGAGACUAGGAGGCGGAAGAGGCGGACGGUACUCAACGGGUAGGGGCAAAAUCCUUUGAUCCGUUGAAGACCACCAGUAGCGAAGGCGGUCCGCCAGGACGCGCUCGACGGUGAGGGAUGAAAGCUGGGGGAGCGAACCGGAUUAGAUACCCGGGUAGUCC